rnacentral:rRNA from 1 species
CCUACGGGAGGCAGCAGUGAGGAAUAUUGGUCAAUGGACGAGAGUCUGCACCAGCCAAGUAGCGUGAAGGAUGACUGCCCUAUGGGUUGUAAACUUCUUUUAUAUAGGAAUAAAACGAGGCACGUGUGCCUUUUUGCUUGUACUUUAUUAAUCAGGAUCGGCUAACUCCGGGCCAGCAGCCGCGGUCAUACGGAGGAUCCGAGCGUUAUCCGGAUUUAUUGGGUUUAAAGGGAGCGUAGAUGGGUUGUUAAGUCAGUUGUGAAAGUUUGCGGCUCAACCGUAAAAUUGCAAUUGAUACUGGCAGUCGUGAGUACAGUUGAGGUAAGCGGAAUUCGUGGUGUAGCGGUGAAAUGCUUAGAUAUCACGAAGAACCCCGAUUGCGAAGGCAGCUUACUAAACUGUGACUGACAUUGAUGCUCGAAAGUGUGGGUAUCAAACAGGAUUAGAUACCCCUGUAGUC